rnacentral:rRNA from 1 species
GACGAACGCUGGCGGCGUGCUUAACACAUGCAAGUCGAGCGGUAAGGCCCUUUCGGGGGUACGACGAGCGGCGAACGGGUGAGUAACACGUGGGUGACCUGCCCUUACGCUCUGGGAGUAAGCCUGGGAAACGUGGGUCGUAAUACCGGAUAUGACUCCAUGACGCAUGUUGUGGGGUGGAAAGCCUUGUGCGGCUAGGGAGUGGGCCGUGCGGCCUAUCAGCUUGUUGGUGGGGUGAGGCCUACCAAGGCGACGACGGGUAGCCGGCCUGAGAGGGCGACCGGCCACACUGGGACUGAGACACGGCCCA